rnacentral:rRNA from 2 species
UACGUAGGUCCCGAGCGUUGUCCGGAAUUACUGGGUAUAAAGGGUGCGCAGGCGGUCUUGUGCGUCAGAAGUGAAAUAUCACGGCUCAACCGUGAGGGUGCUUUUGAUACGGCAAGACUUGAGUACGGGAGAGGAUGAUGGAAUUCCUGGUGUAGCAGUGAAAUGCGUAGAUAUCAGGAGGAACACCGGUGGCGAAGGCGGUCAUCUGGCCCGUAACUGACGCUCAGGCACGAAAGUGUGGGUAGCAAACAGG